GUUGGUGUAGCUCAGUGGUAGAGCGCGUGUAUGUAUGACGUCCUGGGUUCAAUCCCCAGCUUCUCCA